GUAAACCAAGGUAGUAGCCCAGCCCACUACCCGCCAGAAUAUUACAAGUGAAAAACUUAAAACUCAAAGGACUUGACGGUGUCCCACAUCACACUAGAGGAGCCUGUCCUAUAAUCGAUGACCCACGUUAUACCCAACCUGCCCUUGCACAAACCAGCCUAUAUACCGCCGCCCUCAGCCCACCUUUCAAAAGUACCAGCAGUGGGCUCAACAGCCAAUCCCACUAAAACGUCAGGUCAAGGUGUAGCCAACGGGCAGGAAGAGAUGGGCUACAUUUUCUCACCACAGACUAUAACCAACAGCAACAUGAAACAUUCGCCAAAAGGCGGAUUUAGCAGUAAGGUGGGUAAGACUGCCCAACUGAACCGCG
rnacentral:rRNA from 1 species